rnacentral:tRNA from 1 species
GAGGGUAUAACUCAGUGGUGGAGCGCAUGCUUAGCAUGCACGAGGCUCUGGAUUCAAUUCCUAGUACCGCCA